AAAAUGUGUUCGUCGUAUCGCUGAUCUCUGGUGUCGCGUAUCUCCAUGCUCUCCCUCCAGUCUCCACUACGUGCUGUUUGGCAGAUUUGAGGCCUGAGGCAGCCAGCCAUCAUAACCAAAAGAUAUGCAAGUUUUGCUUGUGCACCUGUCAUUAGCAUUCAGCAACAAUUUCAGAAGUCAUCAUCGCUUUGAUAAACAGCACCCUGUUUCAUUGGAGAGACUACCGAUGUCGGUCGAGUUCAUCUUCUCUUUAAAUCACCUCGGUCCUCGUGUACGCCCAUGUGAAUGUGGUUGUAUUCACGAGUCUGAGGCCCUAGCCUUUUUCCUAUGCCGCCUGGUGGAUUCAACUUUUCAACGAAGGGAACAACUGUGAAUGCCUGGCUGACUUCCCAGGCUUAAAGGAUGAAACCAUUUCCAGAUAUUUGAAUUGAGGUUGUCCCACACCUCUUCCAUUGAUCUCUGAACUGCGCAUUUCAUUUAUUGGUUUUUUUUUUCACGAAUAACGUUCAGGUUAUUCUCUUGAUUAAACUAUUGAAAAUAGAUUCGACUUGCUCAAACGAAUGAUGCUGCUAAAAAUCUAUUCACCCGACAGCCACAUGCCCUGAGUAAAAUUUUAUAAGUAGAAAAAACAGGAGAAAAUAUUGCAAUUAA